rnacentral:ncRNA from 2 species
CUAUCAUUGUGAAGCAGAAUUCAC